AAGCGAGCGGCGGAUGGGUGAGUAACACGUGGGGAACCUGCCCCUAAGUCUGGGAUACCAUUUGGAAACAGGUGCUAAUACCGGAUAAUAAAGCAGAUCGCAUGAUCAGCUUUUGAAAGGCGGCGUAAGCUGUCGCUAAGGGAUGGUCCCGCGGUGCAUUAGCUAGUUGGUAAGGUAACGGCUUACCAAGGCGACGAUGCAUAGCCGAGUUGAGAGACUGAUCGGCCACAUUGGGACUGAGACACGGCCCAAACUCCUACGGGAGGCAGCAGUAGGGAAUCUUCCACAAUGGACGCAAGUCUGAUGGAGCAACGCCGCGUGAGUGAAGAAGGUUUUCGGAUCGUAAAGCUCUGUUGUUGGUGAAGAAGGAUAGAGGUAGUAACUGGCCUUUAUUUGACGGUAAUCAACCAGAAAGUCACGGCUAACUACGUGCCAGCAGCCGCGGUAAUACGUAGGUGGCAAGCGUUGUCCGGAUUUAUUGGGCGUAAAGCGAGCGCAGGCGGAAAAAUAAGUCUAAUGUGAAAGCCCUCGGCUUAACCGAGGAACUGCAUCGGAAACUGUUUUUCUUGAGUGCAGAACAGGAGAGUGGAACUCCAUGUGUAGCGGUGGAAUGCGUAGAUAUAUGGAAGAACACCAGUGGCGAACGCGGCUCUCUGGUCUGCAACUGACGCUGAGGCUCGAAAGCAUGGGUAGCGAACAGGAUUAGAUACCCUGGUAGUCCAUGCCGUAAACGAUGAGUGCUAAGUGUUGGGAGGUUUCCGCCUCUCACUGCUGCAGCUA
rnacentral:rRNA from 1 species